UCCGAUUUGUCACCGGCGGUAUCCCAUGAGUCCCCGUCUUUCACGCUGGCAACAUGGGACAGGGGUUGCGCUCGUUGCGGGACUUAACCCAACAUCUCACGACACGAGCUGGCGACAGCCAUGCAGCACCUGUGUUCCGAUUCCCUUUCGGGCACCCCCACCUCUCAGCAGGGUUCCGGACAUGUCAAGGGUAGGUAAGGUUGUUCGCGUUGCAUCGAAUUAAUCCACAUCAUCCACCGCUUGUGCGGGUCCCCGUCAAUUCCUUUGAGUUUUAAUCUUGCGACCGUACUCCCCAGGCGGACGACUUCGCGCGUUAGCUGCGUUACUAAAGGAUUUAACUCCUCCAACAACUAGUCGUCAUCGUUUAGG
rnacentral:misc_RNA from 1 species